CAGCCGCCGCGGUAAUACCAGCACCUCGAGUGGUCAGGAGGUUUAUUGGGCCUAAAGCAUCCGUAGCCGGUUGCAUAAGUUUUCGGUUAAAUCUAUGCGCUUAACGUAUAGGCCGCCGAAAAUACUGUGCAGCUAGGGAGUGGGAGAGGUACACGGUACUCGAUAGGAAGGGGUAAAAUCCUUUGAUCUAUUGAUGACCACCUGUGGCGAAGGCGGUGUACCAGAGCACGUUCGACGGUGAGGGAUGAAAGCUGGGGGAGCAAACCGGAUUAGAUACCCCCGUAGUCCCUGUCUCUUAUAC
rnacentral:rRNA from 1 species